rnacentral:tRNA from 1 species
GCCGGGGUGGCGGAAUGGCAGACGCAGCUGACUUAAAAUCAGCGGCCGCAAGGCAUGGGGGUUCGAGUCCCUCCCCCGGUACCA